rnacentral:misc_RNA from 1 species
GAUGAAGAACGUAGCGAAAUGCGAUACUUGGUGUGAAUUGCAGAAUCCCGUGAACCAUCGAGUCUUUGAACGCAAGUUGCGCCCGAAGCCAUUAGGCCGAGGGCACGCCUGCCUGGGCGUCACACGUCGUUGCCCCCCCAUCUACUCCUUCGGGAUUGCGGGGGGCGGAUGAUGGCCUCCCGUGCGCCUCGUCGCGCGGUUGGCAUAAAUGCCAAGUCCUCGGCGACGCACGCCACGACAAUCGGUGGUUGCGAAACCUCGGUUGCCCGUCGUGUGCGGUCGUCGCGCAUCGAGGGCUCGAAAAAAUUGCCGAGCUCUGUUUCGGCUUUCAACGCGACCCCAGGUCAGGCGGGGUUACCCGCUGAAUUUAAGCAUAUCAAUAAGCGGAGGA